CAGCCAAAACAAAACCUACAAUAAAAGCGAGAGAAAAAGGUGUGCAAGAUUGCAUACUUUACGAUAGAAACCAGGUGGAGGCAACCAUGCUUUACGAUAGAAACCAGGUGGAGGCAAUCGCAUGUACAUAGCUAGAAUAAAAUAGGCAAAUGCCAUAUUAUGCAAAUAUAUUUUGGAACUCAUUGAAGACAAAGCACAAAGCAGAAUUUUAAUAUGCAAAUAAAAACUAGUUUUAUAGAAAAUAUUUGCAUGUGUGCUGAAAAGCCUACAGAUUUAUGGUGUGGUAACGGAAGAAAGCAGACCCAAUCAACUUGCUUGUGCCUCACGGAAUCCCUGGGACUGACGGAUUUCUGGCAGCUGGGUAACUGAACUACGCAGCUCGUAAGUGUGGACGUGUUUCCUGUGGAUGUCCCACUUGCCGUAUCACUCCUCCUUUUUGCAAAGUCAAUGAAGGCAUCUUGGCAGACGUGAGCCUGUGAGGGAGGCCCCCGCUGACAGGCUGUGGGCUGCUCUGAGGUAGUGGACUUCCACGAGUGGGUCCUGAAGGCUUGGCACAGCUCCCAUCUUGCCUUGAUUAGAUGCUCUCACCUGGCUGGUGCCACGGCCAGGCCGUACCUCCUCAUCGGCCUGGACACCUGCCCUCCUGGAGCUUGGCUCCCAGUGCUGCUCCUUGGAGACAAGCUCUGGUGCCCUCUUGCUGCCUCUUCCCUCUUCUGCCCCCAAAGCAGCCAGUAUUUAAGGACCCCGGCCCGAGAUGCUGCCCAUCCUUUUCCUUCCAUGGCAGGUAGGGCACUGGAACUGUACGCCCUGGAAUGGAGCUCAGAGCUCUUCAGCUGGUACCAGCAUGGUUACUUCAGGGACACAGGUGCGUGUCUGAGCCUCCUGCAGGGCCGAGGUGCUCAGCUGCCUGCUUGAAAUGCUUUGUUUACUCCUGUCUUUCCUCUUCUCUCACUCUUCUCCAGCCUUCCUGCAACCGGGGCUCCCAUCUCCAGAUCCCAUGAGGUUAUAGUAGAGAUCAUGUAAGACAGUAACAUGCAAAGGUUAGUGUCUGCCAGAGCCCAGGAAACGUGAUCCACUGUCAUUCCCCUCCAGAAGUUCUAUGGAAGCCACUGAUGACAAGCACACAUUUAUUAAUGCGUGUGCGUGAUCUCUUCCCCAGGGCUGCGUUUCUCCUGAGGAGCCUUGG
rnacentral:lncRNA from 1 species